UACGGAGGAUGCAAGCGUUAUCCGGAUUCAUUGGGUUUAAAGGGUGCGCAGGCGGGGGAAUAAGUCAGUGGUGAAAAACUGCCGCUCAACGGUAGUCUUGCCAUUGAUACUGUCUUUCUUGAGUAUGGAUGAGGUAGGCGGAAUGUGCAGUGUAGCGGUGAAAUGCAUAGAUAUUGCACGGAACACCAAUUGCGAAGGCAGCUUACUGGACCAUUACUGACGCUCAGGCACGAAAGCGUGGGGAUCAAACA
rnacentral:rRNA from 1 species